AUGCAGGAGGAACCUGACACCAUUGUAGAGCCCCUUUUUUGUGGGCAACUUGAGUUGUCUGAACUCAAAUGCAUUCUGCACCACAUGAGGCCUGUUAAGUGUGUGGCUUUUGAAGGAACUUUUACUGGCAGGGGUUUCUAUGGCUGCCCAAUGCAGUGGGUUGACAAGCCUUGGCCUCCUGUUCUUCAAAAAUGUUUGUCCAAGCUAUGAGAAACGUUCCAUGAGCAGAAUUAUGGAAGGGUACUUGACAAGCAACAGUUUGAGAAGCAGUUGGUCGAGCUUAAGACUGGAAAUGAAAAACUUUGCAUUGAGUACAGCAAGCUUGUUGAAGAUGUAGCCAAGAUGUUUGAUUAGCAGGAUGGUAGGGUGGACAACAAGGUCUUCCAGAAACAAGUGGAGGAGGAAGAGUUUGAGAAGAAGAAGGAGCUAGAGGAGAAAGCUAGGUUGGAGGUGCAGAUGGAAAAGCUUAAACUUGACAAGGAGCAGGGGUGCAUUUUGAAGAGCCAAGCUGACAUUAUCAAGAACACCAAGAAGGCUAUGAAGGAUUUUGAAGUGGACAUAGAUCUUCUUAAGAAGGAGAAGGCAAAGCUUGAGCAAGUUUUUGCUGAGUUGCUGAAAGAUGGCUAUGGCAGCAAGGAGAAGUUAGAGAAAAUCAAGGACAUCCUUGAGUCAUGA
rnacentral:rRNA from 1 species